GAUGAAACGCUGACAGAAUGCUUAACACAUGCAAGUCUAUGAGAAGAUCUACUUCGGUAGAAGGUUAUCAUGGCGGACGGGUGAGUAACGCGUAAAGAACUUGCCUCUUAGACUGGGAUAACAGAUGGAAACGUCUGAUAAGACUAGAUAUAAUAGCGACAUGGCAUCAUGUUGUUAUGAAAGGUAACACUAAGAGAGAGCUUUGCGUCCUAUUAGUUAGUUGGUGAGGUAAUGGCUCACCAAGACGAUGAUAGGUAGCCGGCCUGAGAGGGUGAACGGCCACAAGGGGACUGAGAUACGGCCCUUACUCUUACGGGAGGCAGCAGUGGGGAAUAUUGGACAAUGGAGGAAACUCUGAUCCAGCAAUUCUGUGUGCACGAUGAAGGUUUUCGGAUCGUAAAGUGCUUUCAGUAGGGAAGAAGAAAGUGACGGUACCUACAGAAGAAGCGACGGCUAAAUACGUG
rnacentral:rRNA from 1 species